UACGUAGGAGACGAGCGUUGUCCGGAAUCAUUGGGCGUAAAGCGCGCGUAGGUGGCUUCGUAAGUCCGUUGUGAAAGUCAAAGGCUCAACCUUUGAAAGCCGAUGGAUACUGUGAAGCUAGAGUACGGAAGAGGCGAGUGGAAUUCCUGGUGUAGCGGUGGAAUGCGCAGAUAUCAGGAGGAACACCAAUAGCGAAGGCAGCUCGCUGGGACGUUACUGACAUUGAGGCGCGAAAGCGUGGGGAGCGAACAGG
rnacentral:rRNA from 1 species